rnacentral:rRNA from 1 species
GUAGGGAAUCUUGCGCAAUGGGCGAAAGCCUGACGCAGCCAUGCCGCGUGAAUGAUGAAGGUCUUAGGAUUGUAAAAUUCUUUCACCGGGGACGAUAAUGACGGUACCCGGAGAAGAAGCCCCGGCUAACUUCGUGCCAGCAGCCGCGGUAAUACGAAGGGGGCUAGCGUUGCUCGGAAUUACUGGGCGUAAAGGGAGCGUAGGCGGAUAGUUUAGUCAGAGGUGAAAGCCCAGGGCUCAACCUUGGAAUUGCCUUUGAUACUGGCUAUCUUGAGUAUGGAAGAGGUAUGUGGAACUCCGAGUGUAGAGGUGAAAUUCGUAGAUAUUCGGAAGAACACCAGUGGUGAAGGCGACAUACUGGUCCAUUACUGACGCUGAGGCUCGAAAGCGUGGGGAGCAAACAGGAUUAGAUACCCUGGUAGUCC